CUAUGCCCAUAAAAUUUCAGAUUUUUAAUUAAUAAUUAAAUCACCUUAAGUACCUAUUAUUUAAUUUAUUUAUUUUUUUCGGGUCGUUACAUAAAUAUUUGCAUAUGAGGGACAAUAGGAAACACUCUCUCAUAAUGAAAUUCGAACCAUGCAUACAUAAUUCAUAAUUUUGUCCUUAUUAUUUUGGCACCAACUUAAAAAAACAAUAAGACUAGGAUUACUAUGCAUAGGACUUUCUUAACUCAUAACAUAGGCUAGAGCAAAGGUAGGAUACAUUUGGGAGCAAUGACUACGCCCUCCUUGUUACCCUUUUUACCUUGUUUUCCUUUCUUUUGUUAGACAAUCUUUUCUCUUCCUUUGAGUCGUUAAAUGUGACUCCCCUUCCUUUCUCUCUUUUCAUUCACUAUUCCCUUUUUUCAAUUUGAAGGUAAAUACAUUCAAACUAUCUUAAUACACCAUAUCCACAUGUGUUGAUCAUUUCUAACCUAUAUUUUUCAUACCCCAUUGUACUUUUCUUAUAUACUCAUGAAAGCCACCCUCAAUUUAGGCAUUUUCCUGAGUGAGAUACAUGAUGUCUAAGGAGGGACAGGGUCAAAGAAAGACGCAAGUAACCAGGAUCAUCACGCAAGCACCGUUGAUUCAGUUGAGAGCUCCAGAGUUAGUUGGUGAGUCUCCUUGCAUCCCCGAGGACAUCCUUUUAUUGCUUUUCUAGUUUAGACCAUUAGGAUGUUGUGGGGUAUGUCCCAGGAUCCAUCUCAAUCAGUUUAAAGGUUUCAUAGACAAUGUAGUAGUUUAGUUUUGGUGUCUCCUUCAUUUUAUAUUUUGUAUGUUACAGUAUUGAGACUUAAUUGUCUUUUGAUCAAUACAAGUUAUUGAGUUAUCUUAUGAGAAUGCCUUUAAUUCUUUAUCUGAGUUUAGCAUAGUCUUCCGUUGGGUUAAGUAAGUUAGGACAAGGUUCGCUCAAGGCCAGCAAUGGUCGUUGAGUGCCGCCCUCGUCUAGGGUGUAGGAUCCGGGGGUGACAAUAAAUGUAAGCCAUGAAUAACACUUGAUUGUAUGAUUAUGAGAAUAUACUUUGUUAUUGUAAUUGUGGCUUCUUAGUGUUACGUUUCAACACACUAACUGAGAUAUUGAAUGUCACGUAGUAGCAUACAUAUUGAAUCGGGUGUCAUGAUUCGGCACACUAACUUGAAUCGGAUACCACGUUCUGGUGCACUAACAGUUUGGGUAUGGUUCCCAUGAGAGGACCACUAAUUUGUCAUAUAUGCAUAUUUAUGUGAUAUUGGGAAUGUGGAAUUGUACAUUGCAUUUGAAAUUGUUUGAUUGAAUCGUGACUUUGUAUAAUCAGACUAAUGUGGCGUGUUUGUUUGAUGGAUAUCUAGUUAUUAAAUGAACAAUGAAUGGCCAGGAUGAAAACAGAAUAGGAUAUUGUAAGUGAAGAUCAAGGAUCCAGGUGUUACUAUGUGUUGCUUUGAGAGGUGAUCUGUAUUAGUGACUACUAAGUACAUGGAAUGAUGAUAGGUUGUAACUUCUAAGCAGGGUCCUCUCGACCAUAAGGCCACUAAAAUAAUCGCUUGGGGCCUCAAUUUUUUUAGGCCCCCAUUUUCUCUCAAGAAUGUGUGUGUGUGUGUGUGUGUGUGUGUGUGUAUUGUUAAAAAAAUCAUGUAAUGAUAAAUUUGAAAAGAAUUUUUUGUAUAGAAAAUAUAAUUGAGAAAAUUAAAUAUUGUUUUGUUGAUUGUAGUGUCUUUUCUAAA